rnacentral:rRNA from 1 species
CCUACGGGUGGCAGCAGUGAGGAAUAUUGGUCAAUGGGCGGGAGCCUGAACCAGCCAAGCCGCGUGAGGGAAGAAGGUACAGCGUAUCGUAAACCUCUUUUGUCAGGGAACAAAGGCGGGGACGUGUCCCCGGAUGAGUGUACCUGACGAAAAAGCAUCGGCUAACUCCGUGCCAGCAGCCGCGGUAAUACGGGGGAUGCGAGCGUUCUCCGGAUUUAUUGGGUUUAAGGGGUGCGCAGGCGGUCUGUUAAGUCAGCGGGCAAAGCCCGGGGCUCAACCCCGGCCCGCCGUUGAAACUGGCAGUCUCGAGUUGGAGAGAGGGAUGCGGAAUGCGCGGUGUAGCGGUGAAAUGCAUAGAUAUCGCGAAGAACUCCGAUUGCGAAGGCAGCAUGCCGGCUCCACACUGACGCUGAGGCACGAAAGCGUGGGUAUCGAACAGGAUUAGAUACCCCAGUAGUC